AUUGAACGCUGGCGGCAGGCCUAACACAUGCAAGUCGAGCGGAUGAAGGGAGCUUGCUCCUGGAUUCAGCGGCGGACGGGUGAGUAAUGCCUAGGAAUCUGCCUGGUAGUGGGGGAUAACGUCCGGAAACGGGCGCUAAUACCGCUUACGUCCUGAGGGAGAAAGUGGGGGAUCUUCGGACCUCACGCUAUCAGAUGAGCCUAGGUCGGAUUAGCUAGUUGGUGGGGUAAAGGCCUACCAAGGCGACGAUCCGUAACUGGUCUGAGAGGAUGAUCAGUCACACUGGAACUGAGACACGGUCCAGACUCCUACGGGAGGCAGCAGUGGGGAAUAUUGGACAAUGGGCGAAAGCCUGAUCCAGCCAUGCCGCGUGUGUGAAGAAGGUCCUCGGAUUGUAAAGCACUUUAAGUUGGGAGGAAGGGCAGUAAGUUAAUACCUUGCUGUUUUGACGUUACCAACAGAAUAAGCACCGGCUAACUUCGUG
rnacentral:rRNA from 1 species